UCUCACACUGGUUCCCAUACGACCGCGUCGGCGUGGUGAACGCCGAUCCUUAAGGACUUUCUCUCCCGGCGUGUCUCUCCGCCCAGGGCCCAUCGCUCACAAUCCCGACACACCUCGACGCCUUUCAACUCCGCUUCUGACGCCUAUGAACUCCACCCCGACGUUCGCUCGCAUGGACCCUCGACCCUCAGGCGCGUUGAACCCGCUCGUUCGCGCGGCGACGCGCGUCGGCGACGACGAGGACGACGACGCCGUCGGCGCCGCCGCCGCGGAGGCCCUCGGCGUCGCGCUGAGCAACAACCCGAGGGUGCGCGCGAUGACGCACGCGUGGCGAGCGCCGGAGGACGCCGUCGUGAUCGAUCGUCGCGGCAGAAGGAAGCACCGCGUCGACAGGCACGCGACGGACCCGAAUAAGAUCUACUCGUCCGCGAACCACGCGCGGCACGAGCACCCGCCGCACGGCGCGGAGCACCGCGAGCAGUCCGAGCACAGGAUCGCGCUCGCGAAGAGCGCGAACGCGGCGCACGGGGGGAAGCACGGCGACGUCGAUCAUCUCUCGGGCGCGUUCUACGUAUCUCGCGCCGGUCCCCGUACGACCGCGUCGGCGCGGUGAACGCCGAUCCUUAAGGACUUUAUCUCCCGGCGCGCGUUUCUCUCCGCCCAUCACCCCUCGGUUUUGAUCCCCGUCCGCUACGCCUUUCAACUCUCCGCUUCUGACGCCUUUGAACUCCACCCCGACGUUCGUCGCUUCGUAUGGGCAAACACCCUCCGCGCCUCAGACGUCAACGCAUACGACUCGGUGGAGGCGAAACUCGCGACGAUCGCCGUCAACGAGAGCGCGCCGGAGCUUCGACGACGCAAGGCGUUCUUCGCGCUGUCGCAGAUGGUGCGCGACGACCACGUGUGCAGGCGGUCGUUCUUCGCGGCGGGGGGGGCGACCGCGCUGUUGCAGCUGUUGCACCCGAACGCGAACCCGGGGCUGCGCGUGAAAGCCGCGACGCUCGCGGCGGAUCUGUUCGCGUCGCCCGAUCCGGAGCAGCACGCCCGCGAAGGCGCUCGCUUCGACGAGAUUCAUCACAAAGAAGCGAGGGCGCUGAAGCACACGGCGAUGCCGCACUUGAUUCACAUGACGACGGGAGGGAGCGCGGACGCGCGCGAGAAGGCGAUGCACGCCGUGCGAGCCGCGUUGGACGCGGACGCCGGCGACGACGAAGAGAGCGCGGCGAGCACGCACCGCGCGGCGAGGCGCGCGGGCGGCGCCGAGGCGUUCGAGGCGCUCGCGGAAUUCUUCGAGGAGGCGGCGAAGGGAAACGAGGACACGCGGGAGUACCACGCGACGUUAGCGCGCGACGCGGGGUCGGUCGCCGCGCGAUUAGCGCGCGAGACCCACCGCGGAGGUAUCCACCACGUCGAGUUAUGAGGGUUUAUUAGUGUAUUUCUCUCUACAUACAGUCUCGACCGCGCGUCGUCACGACAAACGAGCGACACGUCCCCAUCUCGUCGCUCGCCGUCUCUCCCGCCGCUCGACCACGCGUCGCCGCGCGUCGCGUCGAGCGGAUCGCCGUCGCGCGCUUCAAACCGAAUUCAUCAUCAUUCCGCAUUCGCGAAGACGAUCGAACCGAAUCGAUUUAAAGCUUGUCGCGGGGGCCGAGCGGCGCCUCCUUCUGGGGCCCGACCGUGAUCGGAAGCUUCGCGUCCUUCGCGCCCUUGCCUCCGAACACGAGGCACGCCGCGGGACCGGCGAGGGCGAGGAACGAGUACAUCGCCUCGCGGCGGCCCAGCCCUUGCGCGGCUUUGGGUCGUUCCGUACGAGCGAUGAUAUCGGGGUGGAGUUGAAAGGCGUCAGAAGCGGAGUUGAAAGGCGUCGAGGUGUGUCGGGAUCGUGAGCGAGGGGCCCUGGGCGGAGAGAAACGCGCGCCGGGAGAGAAAGUCCUUAAGGAUCGGCGUUCACCACGCGAACGCGGUCGUAUGGGAACCAGUGCGAAUACGAACGCGCCUUUCUCGAAGAACGCCUCCUGCUGGCCCGGGUACCGCGCGGUGGACGCCUCGCCGUACACGUCCCACGCGCCCGUCGUCGACUCGACGUCGCCGAGGUCGAAGUACACGGACUCGUCGCCGUACUUGGCCUUGGCGGCGGUCGCGCUGUUCGUCGUUCGAUGGGGUCGGGGAGGGUGAGGGUGAGGGUCGGUCGGACGGAUCUUGGAAAUAUAGCGCACGGAUCGAUCGAUCGGUCGACGGACGCGAGCGCGUUUCGCCGUCGGCGACGCGCGGACGAGGCCGCGCCGCGCGCGCGUCGGCGACGCGCGCGUCGAUCGGCGCGAUCGCGAGACGGCGCGCGCGGCGCGCGUCGAAUCCCGCGCGAUCGGCGGCGAUCGUCGCGCGACGUCGAUCGCGCGCGGAGGCGCGUCGCUCCGGCGCGACCCGCGCGCGAUGCCGGGUUCUUCGGUCCCGCGUGAAAAGCGCGGUCGCGGAAAGCCGCGCGGAAAUCAAAUCCAUCGCCGGGGAACGCACCGGGACGCGCGGCGGGCGGCGACGGGCUUGACCGCGACCUUCGCGCCGGCGAAGGUGGAGGUGGAGGCGGCGAGGGAGAAGGCCAUUUUCGUGAGGUGGAGCUGCGUACGCGGUGCGUGUGCGGUUAUGCCGGCGUCGGAUGCGGUUCCCGUCGUCGUGUCUUUCUUCGCGGAGGGGUAGCGAUAGGAUCCGGCGCUGGCCAAUGAAAUUCGUUCGCCACCCCAGGGUGAUUGCCCGUACGACGUCCGUACGCGCGUACGCGUACUUCCGUACCACGCUCGGCGCCGAGAGGGCAAAACACUCGUUGUUACCCGAGCGCCGCUUGGCAUUGGCGCGCGCGCGCGGCGCUUCCGUCUCUCGGCGCGGGGACGUCGUCAUGACGCCCCUGGACCACGUCCCGCACGCGGACGCGCUCGUGCGCGAGUACCUGCUCUUCCGCGGGUUCACGUCCGCGCUGCGCGCGUUCGACGCGGACGCGCGCGCGGAUCUCCUCUUCCGCGCGACCGCCGACGCCGACGCCGACGCCGACGCCGCCGCGAACGCGAACGCCGACGCCGACGUCGCGCGCGGUGACGCGUGCGACCGAGUCGCGGACGCGCUCUUCGAGCGCGACCUCCCCGCGCUCGACGUCCGCGCCGUCUGCGACACGCUCGCGCUCCUCCGCGCGCGCUUCUUCGCGCGCCUCGACGCGUCGUUCGCGCCCGCGUGCGCCAAGCUAGAGACGUCAAUCCUCCGCCUCCUCAUCGUUCACGCGCUGCGGCGCGGACGCAAGGACGUCGUCGACGCGCUCUUCGCGCGCGAGGGCGAGCGCCUCGCGGCGAAUAGCGACGAGUGGCACGCGUGGUUCGCGGUGUGCUACGUCGCGCGACCGGAGGAGGACGCGCGGUACCGCGCGCACUUCGCGAAAGGAUGGGGCGACGCCGUGCGAGCGUCGACGCGCAACUUCCUCGCGGAGGCGUUCCGCGCGACGCCCGCGCCCGCGAUGCUGCGGUUCGGGGAGGAGAGGCGACGGCGGAGCGCGCUGGAGAAGCGCGCGCGCGAUGCGGAGCUCGAGUGCGUCGCGCUCAGGGCGACGCUCGAGGAGAGAGAAGACCGAGCCGCGCGGAUCGGCGGCGGCGGGCUCGACGACGACGCGUCCGAGGCGCGUUCUAUCUCACACUGGUUCCCAUACGACCGCGUUCGCGUGGUGAACGCCGAUCCUUAAGGACUUUCUCUCCCGGCGUGUCUCUCCGCCCAUCACCCCUCGGUUUCGAUCCCGACACACCGCGACGCCUUUCAACUCCACCCCCGACGCCUUUCGACUCCGCCCCG
rnacentral:lncRNA from 1 species